AAUGAAGUGUAACGCAGGAAUAGCAAAGAAGUCUCACCGCGGGUCAUAUGAUCAGAUGGAAAGCCGGAAUGUAGUACGAGAUACGAAGGAUCUUCAAGGGAUAGAGAUCAAGGACCGAGUCACAAGACAGAUUGUACGGGAACGUUGGUGUUGAAAUUUAGAAAACCCAUGUCAUGUAUUUAAUUGUAAAUGAGUCGGUUGAUGACUUCAUGUGAAAAAGUUGUGUUAAAAUGAAAUUUUAAAUAA